rfam:Schistosoma rodhaini strain Burundi genome assembly, scaffold: SROB_scaffold0004131
AUUCAACUGAUGAGUCCCAAAUAAGACGAAACGUAUGUCCUAGAU